UACGGGGGAUGCAAGCGUUAUCCGGAAUUAUUGGGCGUAAAGGGUCCUGAGGUGGCUAGCCAAGUCUAUUGUGAAAUAUCAGGGCUUAACCCUGAACAUGCGGUGGAAACUAGAAAGCUUGAGUACAGUAGGGGCGGAGGGAAUUUCCGGUGGAGCGGUGAAAUGCGUAGAGAUCGGAAAGAACACCAACGGCGAAAGCACUCUGCUGGGCCGACACUGACACUGAGAGACGAAAGCUAGGGGAGCGAAUGGG
rnacentral:rRNA from 1 species